AUGGAUAAGGGCCUCUUCGCCAACGACGGCUCCUUCAUGGAGAGAUUCAAGCAGAUGCAGCAGGAGAUGCAGGACAAGGAGAAGCCCGCAGCCCCCGCCACCACCACUGGUGCUGUCUCCUCUGCGCCGGCCAAGCCUGUCAACCCCAAGACGCCCCUUGUCAUUGUGGCAAACAAGAGGCCGCUCGAGGUGAAGAAGUCCGGCUCGGUCUUGUCGGGCGGGAAGCUGGCCUUUAGCCUCAAGAAGAACAAGAUCCCCAUUGUGCCUGUCAAGUUUGGAGCCGAGGAGGAGGACGACGACGACGUUGCCGGUGUGGAGAGGGGGGAUCAUGCGAAGCGGCACAAGUCCAUUGAUGCUCCCUCAGCUGCUGCCCCAGCUAGGGUUGUUGCCUCAGCACCACCAAAUGAUAUGACAGUGAGGCAGGUUGCUGACAAAUUAGCAAGCUUUGUUGCCAAAAAUGGGAGACAGUUUGAGGAUAUUACACGCCAGAAGAAUCCUGGAGAUUCACCAUUCAAGUUUCUGUUUGAUAAGAACUGUUCAGACUACAAAUAUUAUGAGACUCGGCUUGCUGAAGAGGAAAAGGUGCAUGCUCAGACAAAGGAUGCUCAGGCUUCAAAAAUUGUUAAUUCAAGCACUGCAAGCUCCAUAGCACAUACUGGUGCACAGAGAAGCUCAUUUGAACAAAGAUCUAACUAUCAAACACCUGCUUCCGCUUUAUAUGGGGCAUAUGAAGGUAGUUCAUCCCAGGGAAGCUCAUCUAGUCAUGGUGGUCAAAGUAUGUCUGCACCCUCAGAUCCAGUAGCAUUGAUGGAAUUCUACAUGAAGAAAGCUGCACAGGAAGAACGGAAGAGACCACCAAGGCAGUCAAAAGACGAAAUGCCACCACCUCCAUGCCUUAUUCAGGGUCCUCCUAAGAAGGGACACCACAUGGGGGACUUCAUUCCUCAAGAAGAACUCGAGAAGUUCAUGGCACGCUGUAAUGAUGCUGCAGCACAAAAGGCUACCAAAGAAGCUGCAGAGAAGGCUAAGAUUCAGGCCGAUAAUAUUGGGCACAAGCUUCUGUCUAAGAUGGGCUGGAGGGAAGGUGAGGGUCUUGGCAGCGAGAGAAGUGGCCGUGCAGAUCCCAUUAUGGCUGGAGAUGUGAAACAGGACCACCUUGGUGUUGGUGCUAUCCAACCUGGUGAGGUGUCAUCUGAAGAUGACAUCUACGAGCAAUACAAGAAGCGAAUGAUGCUAGGCUACCGCCAUAGGCCGAACCCACUGAACAACCCAAGGAAACAAUACUACUGA
rnacentral:rRNA from 1 species